GGUGAUAUAGUGUAGUGGUUAUCACUCGGGAUUUUGAUUUGUAUCAAUCUUCCCGAAACCCAGGUUCGAACCCUGGUAUUACCU